UGGGAAAAACGUGACAGUUCUACUGUCCAGGAACUAAAGUGCAGCGUGAAUGGUAAGUGCAAUUUUACAAGUUGUGACUUUUGGAGUAGGUAGGCUGGAUUUAUUUUCAUGGGAAUAUUUCUGGGGACCCUUAUAGACAUUCCUUCCAUGUUUUGGGGCUGGAAAAGGAUUUAGGAUGGUCCAUGGGUUGGUCAUUAUUGCUAAACAUCAUGGAGGUGGGUCCUUGGCUGUCUAGGCUCAUUUCUUUUAGCCUAAAAUCUGGUCUGGAGUUUUUGGGCAGAGGAAAGAGGCUCUUGGAGAGGAGAGCACGAAAAUUCUAAGUGUCCAAAGGAUGGGAGAUGACUUGGUCUAGCAAGGGGGAGAAGAGUUGCUCUCUUGGAAGAAGAAGUUGAAGUGUCCAAAAGAGAUCUUCAAGAGGUAAGGGGAGCUAACUUGUCUCUUAUUUUUUUUGUAUGUGCAGAAUUUACUUGAUGAGUAUGUUGUUUCUUAUGGGUGGAAGUUGGGUAUUAAAGAUUUGAGAAUGAGAAAUUGAGAUUUGCAUGGUAUAAUUUCAAGAAGUUGAUUUGAAUGGAUCUUUUACUACAACUUUGAUCUUUGAAUCUUGAUUAAAUUACAUGAUGAAAGUUUGGUGGGAAUUGAUGGAUCUAUGAUGAAUUGAUGGUGGAAUUUCGUUUUUGUAUGUUGAUAUGUGUGGAAGGGAAGUUUUGAAUGAAUUUGGUUAUGAAAUUGGAUUGAAAACAUGGAAGUUUAUCUCACUUUGUCAUGAAGUGCGAAAAUAGUUUGUUUUGGAUGAUUGAUGAAUUUUGGAUGGAUCAAUUGAUUUGUGGUGUGGAGAUACUUGGCAAGAUGGAAGUAUAAUGANUAAAANAGUAAGUUAAUUGAUGUUAUAAAAAUUUAUGUGUUGAAAAUUGGUAGAUUUAAAUGUAUGUUUUGUUGAGAAAAGUUGAUGAUGAGUUGUUGGAAAAAUUCACUUGAGUAUUGUGCAUUUNCAAAUUUGUUUUUGAUGAUGGGUAAAUGGAUGAUUGGUAUGAACUGUUUUGGGNUGGAUUUAGCACAUUUUAGGGGCUGUUAGAAUGAUUAACAUGUUGUUUAAAUGUGCUAGAAAAAUUAUGGAGAAAAAUAUGUUUUAUGUGUAAUGAAAAGAGUUGAUUUUGUAUGAGAUUGGAUGUAUUGAUGUUUGUGAUAUUUGUGAUUGAUUGUGGAGUGAUACUAGACUCCAAAUAUGUUUGAAAACAUGUUAGAAGUGGCAAAUCUGAGUUGAGAAAUCAAAUCUGGACAAAUCUGGGUGGAAAACCCGAAUCUGGUCGCUGUCAUGGCGCCCGAGCGCCCCUGGUCGCGCUCCAGCGCAACUGGAUGCACCAACACUUUGCUGAAUUUGUUUUUGGAGGUUUUGGGGGUUACAGAUGUCCGUUUUGGACGUUCUUUAGGUCGUUCUGGAGGUUUUUGACCCUUCCGGAACCAUUGGUGAUGGUCUCCAAGCUGUUUGAGUUACCUAAGUUUUGGUAAUCAAUGUUGCCAUGAAGACAGUUGUGAAUUUGAUUGUGAAUGAUGGAUUAAGUGAUGUGGAAAUGAGUUGUAUGUGAAUAUACUUUGUUAAGUAUGGUUGUGGAUAACUAAGUAAGUUUAAUUGAGAAUGAUGUGUUGAGAAAUACAAGGAAAGAAAUAUAUGUGAAAAUACUUUGUUAAGUAUGGUUGUGGAUAACUAAGUAAGUUUAAUUG
rnacentral:lncRNA from 1 species